UUAAGUUCAGCGGGUAUUCCUACCCGAUUCGAGGUCAACUCUUGAGAAGUUGUGUGCGUUUUACGGCAGUGGCCGCGCCGCGCUCCUGUUGCGAGGUUGUGCUACUACGCAGAGGAGGCCGCGGCGGGACCGCCAAUUCAUUUCGGCGGCGGCGGAGGGCGAGGGGGCGAGCCCCCCCAAACCGAACCGCCGUCCCCCAA
rnacentral:misc_RNA from 1 species